AUUGAACGCUGGCGGCAUGCCUUACACAUGCAAGUCGAACGGCAGCACGGGUGCUUGCACCUGGUGGCGAGUGGCGAACGGGUGAGUAAUACAUCGGAACAUGUCCUGUAGUUGGGGUUAGCCCGGCGAAAGCCGGAUUAAUACCGCAUACGAUCUACGGAUGAAAGCGGGGGACGUUCGGGCUUCGCGCUAUAGGGUUGGCCGAUGGCUGAUUAGCUAGUUGGUGGGGUAAAGGCCUACCAAGGCGACGAUCAGUAGCCGGUCUGAGAGGGCGACCGGCGACACUGGGACUGAGACACGGCCCAGACUCCUACGGGAGGCAGCAGUGGGGAAUUUUGGACAAUGGGCGAAAGCCUGAUCCAGCAAUGCCGCGUGUGUGAAGAAGGCCUUCGGGUUGUAAAGCACUUUUGUCCGGAAAGAAAUCCUUGGCUCUAAUACAGUCGGGGGAUGACGGUACCGGAAGAAUAAGCACCGGCUAACUACGUG
rnacentral:rRNA from 1 species